AGUGAACGCUGGCGGUAGGCCUAACACAUGCAAGUCGAACGACAGCACAGAGGAGCUUGCUCCUUGGGUGGCGAGUGGCGGACGGGUGAGGAAUACAUCGGAAUCUACUCUGUCGUGGGGGAUAACGUAGGGAAACUUACGCUAAUACCGCAUACGACCUACGGGUGAAAGCAGGGGAUCUUCGGACCUUACGCGAUUGAAUGAGCCGAUGUCGGAUUAGCUAGUUGGCGGGGUAAAGGCCCACCAAGGCGACGAUCCGUAGCUGGUCUGAGAGGAUGAUCAGCCACACUGGAACUGAGACACGGUCCAGACUCCUACGGGAGGCAGCAGUGGGGAAUAUUGGACAAUGGGCGCAAGCCUGAUCCAGCCAUACCGCGUGGGUGAAGAAGGCCUUCGGGUUGUAAAGCCCUUUUGUUGGGAAAGAAAUCCAUCUGGUUAAUACCCGGGUGGGAUGACGGUACCCAAAGAAUAAGCACCGGCUAACUUCGUGCCAGCCGCCGCUGUAA
rnacentral:rRNA from 1 species